UACUAUAUUGGAAUAUAAUAAGAACAUCACCAUUAAUUGUCACCAAUUUGCACUAAUUUUAUUUGCAUGUCUACAAAUAACUCUUUAAUCUCUAAUCUGUGUUGUAAAUUAUUAAGAAAGUGAUAGAUUGCUGGAGUGAAUAGAAUCCCUAGUCUCAUAAAAGCAAAUUUACUCUUCUCAGAAAUGGUCUCAUUACUUUUUUAUUUAAUAUGCAUGGUAUUUAACAUAAUAACCUCAUGAAGGAUGACUGUGUCUGCUCUGCAUGGAUCACAUUCUGUCCCCAGGGAAUUUUCAAAGUACAGAAAUAUGCAACACUUCAUAUCCUGAGAUAGAAUAAACCAAGAUCCCUGGUCUUAUAAGGCACCAGCAAAUGCUGCUUGACCUUUGCUUGUAGGUAACAGAGGGAAGCAUCACAGAAGAAGCAGGAUGACUAGCAACGUGAAGGCGUUUCAGAAGUGUGUGGCAAAUGCUGUCUUACAGAAGACAGGCAGUUUGUACUGUCCCUGGAAUGACAGAAGAAAAAUAAAGUGGUUUGAUGAGGCUUUUAUUAAAUAUGGAAGCAGAGGCUUCAUUCUCCCAGGUGCAUCCCAUUGCACCUGCCCAAAUUGAACAGAAAAAAGAGAAGAACAACCCAGAAGACAUUCCAGGUAAGAGGAAAAAGACAGAUGUUGCAUGACUUUGCAUGACUAUAAUGCUCCCCUCACAUUAUCUGUAGCUUUUAUUUUACAUAGAGGUAAAAUGUAUGACACUGUUGCUGAAUUGGAAGAAAAACAAUGAGUAGAGUAGCAUCUCCCAUGGGAAAUGCCUAAUUUUACUACUUUUCAUCAGUUCUUUGUCUCUGGAGAUUAACUGGCAAGUGAUAAAUGGAAUUAAACUAACAUGAGAAAGGGUUUAAACAUGGCAAUUAUUCUCCUAGUCACAAUAGAACAUCAUAACAUACAUCACCUUUGAAUUUAUAGCUAAACAAAUGCUGCUGGUCCUGGAAUAUAGAGAUGAAAAUUGUUGGCUUGUUGCCCAAUUGUUUGUGUAAGACCUAUAAUUGAAACACUGGGUUCAAUGCCUUUGUUAAGAAAGGUAUAGUGAUGCAAGGUUAGAAAAAUAUUUUCCAUGCCUAAUGCCUUAAAAUACUUUGCUAUAAUUUCUGUAGAGAACCUUUGUGAAGAGCACGUAGUUUAAUCUGGGAAAAUGCCCAGCAAGAGGCACACAGAAGAAGCAAAUGAACAGUGAAAACAGCUACAAACACUAAUAUUUAGGGAAGCAAACUCGGACAAACUAACACAAAUUGCAUCACAGAUCUUUAUAGGACAUCAGUGUUAGAGAUUGGGCCAGAUUUAGUGGAUUCUCAUUUCUUGUCCUAUGUCUUCCACUACAGUAGUGCUGCAGUGGAGGAAUUUCCUUUCUGAAUAGCUGGAAAAUUUUUUCUUUAUUUACAUGGGAUAUUAGAGAAAUCCACAUAUAUUGCCUGGUUGUGUAAACUGAUAGUAUUGAUUGGUUUGAGAUUUCUGAUAGGUAACCUAUCUGCAUUUUCGUACAUUUAAUCUUUAUCCCUAUAUUUGUCCACCGUAUAUUUCUUUUAAGCAGCAAAUAAGAUCUACAGAAUUACAUAGGU
ensembl:lncRNA